rnacentral:sRNA from 1 species
AAGACGGCUUAAAAGUUUUAAUUUCUAAGUCGACUGCUUAAAAAUGGGAAGAGGCAUGCCCUUGGCCUCCGAUUACAAAGCCCCCAAACUCAGUCUCUUGUUAUCAUUUUAGUUACAUGUAAUUAAAAUUCGAAAACAUGUGAUUCCAUUUUUACAAUCUCGUGUGAUUUGUAUUCAUUUUACUAACUGUCACGUGUAUUUAAACAAAAACUAACUUAAUGUCUUUUGAAGGUUCAUGCGGAUUAUAAACGUAGCGACCACAGGUUAUGC